rnacentral:lncRNA from 1 species
UGGGACCUUAUGUUGCAAAUAGGAUAACUCAAUUCAUUAAGGACCAGAUUAACAUUUUAACCUCCAAGCCAAUACAGGUUCACUACCAACGCCUGGAGAUGGACGACUCCGCCCACAAGGUGUACUUACGACCCAUCCGGAGAUGAGAUGUAACUGGACAGGAGCCAAUACCCAAGCCCUCCUAUGUAUGCCUGCUUUUGCCCAGGUCCCUAAUUACCCUGCCGACUUGGUGCCGUCAUCCCAGACCCUUACGUUCAGAAAGCUCCCUGGUCAUAGCUAUCCCACUGGCAAAGAUGAUGACUGGGAUCUGCAGUUGUGUCCUGCUGGCCAUGACAUCCUAACUGAAAAGUGUCCGUUUACGUAGGACAAGAGCUGAUCUUGUAGUACCCAGUGACGGGCAACUUCCACGCUUGCACUGCAACCUAAGCCAGGGGAAUGGGGCCUCCCCAGAGACGGGUAAGCAGUGCAGGGGCGGUGGACGACCUAAGACAGGGGCUACUUGAUUCCCAUUGACAUGCAAAAAACAAAAAAGGGGGACUUGCUGGUAGCAGGCCCGCCCUGGCCCCUGGGGACUCAAC